UACAGAGGGUGCGAGCGUUGUCCGGAAUCACUGGGCGUAAAGGGCGCGUAGGCGGCCUGAUAAGUCGGGGGUGAAAUCCUGUGGCUUAACCACAGGGCUGCCUCCGAGACUGUCGGGCUCGAGCACAGUAGAGGCAGGUGGAAUUCCCGGUGUAGCGGUGGAAUGCGUAGAGAUCGGGAAGAACAUCGGUGGCGAAGGCGGCCUGCUGGGCAGUGGCUGACGCUGAGGCGCGACAGCGUGGGGAGCAAACAGG
rnacentral:rRNA from 1 species